rnacentral:misc_RNA from 1 species
GUGAAUCAUCAAAUUUUUGAACGCAAAUUGCACUCUCUGGUAUUCCGGAGAGUAUGUGUGUUUGAGGGUGAGUUUAAAUAAAAAUCUGUGUGGUUGGUGCCUUUCGUGGUGACGGAUCGGAUUUGGGUCGUUUUGGCUUUGGUUAAGUGAAAUUAAAUUUUGUUUGAUUUUUUUCGAACGUAUUUAAAUGUUUUUACGUAUGGUUGGUGUAUCGGCUAAUAGGUGUGGUAAUUCUU